rnacentral:rRNA from 1 species
CGCGAAACCAGGCGAGCUACUACUAUACGUAUGUUAGUACAGAAUAUGUAGCAUAAUAAUUAAAGAUAGAGUAGUAGGGGUGAUAGGCUUCCAAGUCUGGUGAUAUCUCGUUACCAUCGAAAUGUAUUAAGUACAUCGUCAAUUCAUUAGUGACAAGGCUGGUGAAAAAUAUGUAUAUUGGUGAUUUUUAACGUACAUAGUUUAACCGCUUGUAACCGAGUGCAUAAAUAUUAAAGUUGCAAACAUAAUAAAUAAUAGAGGGUACUAAUUAAUCAUAUUGCUUUUUAAUACUGUGUGUAUGAGUAAUUUAGGUAUUAUUGAUGAACUCGGCAACAUUUCUUUCACCUGUUUAUCAAAAACAUCGCCAGUAGGAAAAGACUAUUGGUUAUUUCUGCUCAAUGUUUUAUAAAUAGCCGCAGUACCCUGACUGUGCAAAGGUAGCAUAAUCAUUUGGCUUAUAAUUGAAGUCUCGCAUGAAGGAAAUCAUGGGGGAAAGCUCUAUUAACGAUAAUUAACGAAUUUACUUAGGGGGUGCAAAGUCCCCCAGAUAAAUAAUAGACGAGAAGACCCUAGAAAUUUGUAAGAUGUGUUGAAAUCGCUUUUUGUUGGGGCAACAUUGUAGCAUUUAACCUACAGUAACAACAUGACAUGUUUUAGAAAGAUGAAAUUACUCUAGGGAUAACAGCGUAAUUCUCAAGAGUUUGCGACCUCGAUGUUGGACUAGGAAGCAAUCGCUUAGAA